GUGCUCACUUCACUUCGGCAGCACAUAUACUAAAAUUGGAACGAUACAGAGAAGAUUAGCAUGGCCCCUGCACAAGGAUGACACGCAAAUUCGUGAAGUGUUCCAUAUUUUU
rnacentral:snRNA from 1 species